rnacentral:rRNA from 1 species
UACGGAGGGGGCGAGCGUUAUUCGGAAUUAUUGGGCGUAAAGGGCGCGUAGGCGGCCUGACAAGUCAAAGGUGAAAUCCCUCGGCUCAACUGAGGAACUGCCUUUGAAACUGCCAGGCUUGAGGCCGGGAGGGGGUAGCGGAAUUCCCAGUGUAGCGGUGAAAUGCGUAGAUAUUGGGAGGAACACCAGUGGCGAAGGCGGCUACCUGGACCGGUUCUGACGCUGAUGCGCGAAAGCGUGGGUAGCAAACAGG